rnacentral:lncRNA from 1 species
GGAUUCUUUAAUUUUUCGCUUACGCUCUCCUUCUCUUGGGACUUAAAAUGAAGUCAUCAUCGUCGUCGCUCUCCUUGAUAACUCUCUUCUUGCCUUUUACAUCACCAUUCUUAGAUGCCUGCUGUUGUUGCCUCUGUGAGCUCUCAGGUUUACUAGGUGGUUUUGUAGACUCAGGUUUACUUGGUGGUUUUGUAGACUCAGGUUUACUUGGUGGUUUUGUAGACUUAAUAGGAGUUCCUAACCGGAGUUGCUUUUGCUUUCUCUGCUUCUUCUCGAAUGCCUUUCUGGAUCUUUCAGGGGACAAUAGGCCAUGCUCCAUCAUCCUGCAAAUGAAUUAUGUUGUUCGUU